rnacentral:rRNA from 1 species
GACGUAGGGCGCGAGCGUUGUCCGGAUUUAUUGGGCGUAAAGAGCUCGUAGGCGGCUUGUCGCGUCGAAUGUGAAAACCCACGGCUCAACUGUGGGCUUGCAUUCGAUACGGGCCAGGCUAGAGUUCGGUAGGGGAGACUGGAAUUCCUGGUGUAGCGGUGAAUGCGCAGAUAUCAGGAGGAACACCGGUGGCGAAGGCGGGCCUCUGGGGCCGAUACUGACGCUGAGGAGCGAAAGCGUGGGGAGCGAACAGG